rfam:Perkinsus marinus ATCC 50983 gcontig_1104296372780, whole genome shotgun sequence.
CACAGCGUGUCCGAGUGAUCAAGGAGGUGGACUUGAAAUCCACUGGGCUCUGCCUGCGCAGGUUCGAAUCCUGCCGCUGUCG